rnacentral:sRNA from 1 species
UGCAUCUGCAGCCCAUGAGGAUGAGAACCUCCGGGGGCAGGGAGGUUCGACUCGAGCGAAGCGAGAGAACGUUGCGCCAGCAACGGCCCGCAGG